rnacentral:sRNA from 1 species
UUAGUCAACGAGAAUU